rnacentral:rRNA from 1 species
UUCUGGCUCAGAACGAACGCUGCGGCAUGGAUUAGGCAUGCAAGUUGAACGAACUCCUUCGGGAGUGAGUAGCGGAAGGGUGAGGAACGCGUGAGUAAUCUGCCCCCCAGUUGGGAAUAACAGUUGGAAACGACUGCUAAUACCGAAUGUGGCUUAAGCUUCGCCUGGAGCUUUGGCUAAAGAUUUAUCGCUGGGGGAUGAGCUCGCGUCCCAUUAGGUAGUUGGUGAGGUAACGGCUCACCAAGCCGACGAUGGGUAGCUGGUCUGAGAGGAUGGUCAGCCACACUGGGACUGAGACACUGCCCAGACUCCUACGGGAGGCUGCAGUCGAGAAUCUUGGGCAAUGCGCGAAAGCGUGACCCAGCAAUGCCGCGUGUAUGAUGAAGGCCCUCGGGUCGUAAAGUACUGUCUCCCGUGACGAAAUUUGACGGUAGCGGGGAAGGAAGCCACGGCUAACUACGUGCCAGCCGCCGC